rnacentral:rRNA from 1 species
UACGUAGGGUGCAAGCGUUAUCCGGAAUUAUUGGGCGUAAAGAGCUCGUAGGCGGUUUGUCGCGUCUGCUGUGAAAACCGGAGGCUCAACCUCCGGCCUGCAGUGGGUACGGGCAAACUAGAGUGCGGUAGGGGAGAUUGGAAUUCCUGGUGUAGCGGUGGAAUGCGCAGAUAUCAGGAGGAACACCGAUGGCGAAGGCAGAUCUCUGGGCCGUAACUGACGCUGAGACGCGAAAGCGUGGGGAGCAAACAGG